rnacentral:rRNA from 1 species
AGUGAACGCUGGCGGUAGGCCUAACACAUGCAAGUCGAACGGCAGCACAGUAAGAGCUUGCUCUUACGGGUGGCGAGUGGGGGAAGGGUGAGGAAAACAUCGGAAUCUACUUUUUCGUGGGGGAUAACGUAGGGAAACUUACGCUAAUACAGCAUGCGACCUACGGGUGAAAGCAGGGGAUCUUCGGACCUUGCGCGAAUGAAUGAGCCGAUGUCGGAUUAGCUAGUUGGCGGGGGAAAGGCCAACCAAGGCGCCGAUGCUUAGCUGGUCUGAGAGGAGGGUCAGGCAUGAUAGGGCUAAGAGCCGGUCCAGAAUUGUACUAGAGGCAGCAGUGGGGAAUAAUGGACAAGUGGCGAAAGCCUGAUCCAGCCAUGCCGCGUGGGUGAAGAAGGCCUUCUGGUGGUAAAGCCCUUUUGUUGUGAAAGAAAAGCAGCAGGUUAAUACCCCGCUGUUCUGACUGUACCCAAAGAAUAAGCACCGGCUAACUUCG